AACGCACCUUGCGCUCKCUGGUAUUCCGGMGAGCAUGCCUGUUUGAGUGUCAUGAACUCUUCAACCCUCCAAUUCCUUGUUUGAAUUGUGAGGUGUUUGGAUCUUGAACGUCUAUGCUGGCCUUUUCGAAGGCGAAGCUCGUUCGUAAUACAUUAGCAACUCAAUUUCGAUAUACUCGGAUUGACUCGGCGUGAUAGACUUAAAUAUUCGCUGAGGACAUCUUGUAAUGAGGUGGCCGAGUUACGAAGUGAAAGCUUCUAAUUUGAAUCUAAAGUCUUCUUAUGGUUGACCUCGGAUCAGGUAGGGAUACCCGCUGAACUUAA
rnacentral:misc_RNA from 1 species